CAGUUAGCACUUGUUUCCCAAUCUCUUAAGGCCGCCGCCGCCGCCACCGCCGCCGUCUUGGUGCUUCUUCAAUCUUCAUUGUGGAGUGUCCGUGCGAAGACGCCCCUCCCCUCCUUGGCUCCUUCCCUGCCACCGCCAUGGUGAAGUACUCGCAGUCGCAGGAGCCGGUGAACCCUACCAAGUCGGCCAAGGCCAUGGGCAGGGAUCUGAGGGUCCACUUCAAGAACACAAAGCUUUUGCGCUUCGCAAGCUGCCUUUGACCAAGGCUAAGCGAUACCUUGAGGAUGUUAUGUCUCACAAGCAGGCAAUUCCCUUCCGGAGAUACUUUGGGGAUGUUGAAGCAAAGUCUCGCCAUUCCAAUGGACAGGGUCACUGGCCUGUUAAAUCAGCCAGGUUCAUAUUCGAUUUGCUGAAAGGUGAAAGGUUUGGAUGUGGACAACCUCUAUGUUUCACACAUCCAAGUGAACCAAGCCCAGAAGCAGAGGCGCUGCACCUACUGUGCUCACGGACGCAUCAAUCCUUACAUGUCCUCACCUUGCCACAUUGAGCUGAUCCUGUCAGAGAAGGAAGAGCCUGUGAAGAAAGAGGCCGACAACAUUUGUUGCAGCAGGGAAGUGAAGUAUAUUAGCCUGCUGAUCGAGGGCAUUUUGUCGAAGUAUUAUAGCCGUAGCUCUUUUAUGUACCUUUUCAGGCAGCCAUGCCUCUUAAGAUGUUUCCGGUACCGAUAUGUUGAACCUGGAUUUUCUAUGUUUAGUACUGUGCUUGAGUGUAAGGUUAGUUCGUAAUACAAUAGCUCUAACCGUGUGUUUGGUUGGAGAGCGGAGCGAGUUGGGUCGGAGCGAACCCAUUCUCUUGUCUGUUUGGUUGGAGGAUGGGAGGGUUGGGUUGGCUCCAGGGUGGAAUAUUCCUCUCAGAUGCGGGUUGGACCCGUCCCUCAAAAUCUGGCGGACGGAGCCGCUCCAACCGGGUUGGCUCCCACCAAACACUGAAUUCCUUCAUCCAAACACUGGAUGGAGCCGCUCUGUCCCCAAUCCUUCAACCAAACACUAAAAUGGGUUGGCUCCGUCCCCAAAAGCAGAAGUGCAACCAAACACUGGAUGGGUUGACUCCGUCCCAAAAAACUGGGUUGGAUCUAACCCAACUCACUCAACCCCCAACCAAACACACGGUAAGAUAUCUGGGUACUCAAUCUCUGUGGACUAAUUUGAUUUACUUGAAUAUGAUUAGUGUGAUAUUAUUUCAAAA